rnacentral:lncRNA from 1 species
GGAGACUAAGCAAAGAGGAAAUUCGUUGUGGUAUCGUCAGAUCAAUCGACUAAGAUAUUUCUUAAGCCCUACGAUGCCGAUUUCGCUAAUCAUCCCGAAUUCCUUGCUUCCCAAAUAGUCUUACUUGUCUUAGGUAGGUGACUGGAAUCUACAGCAUGGCGAAGGAAAUAGUUCUAGACCAGAAGGUGAUCUUGGUUGACAAGGUCAUCCACAGCAUGAGGG